AGUCCUGAUGCAGCAGCGCCGCGUGAGGGACGACGGCCUUCGGGUUGUAAACCUCUUUUAGCAGGGAAGAAGCGAAAGUGACGGUACCUGCAGAAAAAGCACCGGCUAACUACGUGCCAGCAGCCGCGGUAAUACGUAGGGUGCAAGCGUUGUCCGGAAUUAUUGGGCGUAAAGAGCUCGUAGGCGGUUUGUCGCGUCUGCUGUGAAAAUCCGAGGCUCAACCUCGGACCUGCAGUGGGUACGGGCAAACUAGAGUGCGGUAGGGGAGAUUGGAAUUCCUGGUGUAGCGGUGGAAUGCGCAGAUAUCAGGAGGAACACCAAUGGCGAAGGCAGAUCUCUGGGCCGUAACUGACGCUGAGGAGCGAAAGCGUGGGGAGCGAACAGGAUUAGAUACCCUGGUAGUCCACGCCGUAAACGGUGGGAACUAGAUGUGGGGUCCGUUCCACGGAUUCCGUGUCGCAGCUAACGCAUUAAGUUCCCCGCCUGGGGAGUACGGCCGCAAGGCUA
rnacentral:rRNA from 1 species